GUGAUUGCUUAGGCAGCACAAAUCCUACAACUGCAACGGCACGGAGAUCAGCAGGGCCCCUGCUCAAGAAUGACAUGCACAUUCGUAAAAGGAUUGUCAAGUAUUU
ensembl:snRNA U6 U6 spliceosomal RNA